rnacentral:lncRNA from 1 species
AACAUUACUUGCUCUGAUAUCAUUAGUUGCUAGUUACUUCACUUCUUUUAUUUGUUCUAUCUCCUGCUUUACUUCCGCUUUUAUUGUAGACGCCUUAUAUGUGUAGACAUAUGGCGGGUCUGGGCACGCUACCGGGAGGGCCUUCGCCGGUCCCGGGGCGUGACAGAUUAAUUUGGUAUCAGAGCCUAGGGUUGAGUCUUAGUGGACCUAGCGAACCUUAGGCCGGUUGGACUAUAGGAAUUAGGCUCGUGAGAGACGAGGUCUAAUUGACUUGUGAGCGAAAGUAUUAUGAUUGGGUUUAUGACAACUCUAAAAAGUUAGAGUUUGAUCGGAGUGUAUGGCUUCUAACUUCGCGGAGGGUUACGUUGGUGGCCGACAACGUAACAUCGGGAGUUAGUAGUGAAGGACACUUCCUUACUUUAGCAUGAUUUGGGGUUUUAUCUAUUUUGAGCGGGGAUGCGAUAGCGUGGGUUACUAACUUGCGCUUUUAUGUUUUGUAGUGACGAUGCCGAUCACACGCUCCUAGUCUGCCGGGGCGGAUGAUGCGGCACACCCCGAGGAGGUCGAGACCUCCGCUACUUCCGGAUCUAGUGAGGUCCGCGACUUGAGGGCCCAGCUUGCUGUUCUCACUGAUCUGUUGGCGCAGCAG